GACGAACGCUGGCGGCGUGCUUAACACAUGCAAGUCGAACGGAGUUCCUUGGAUAGAGGCUUCGGCCAAUUGAAUUGGAACUUAGUGGCGGACUGGUGAGUAACGCGUGAGGAACCUGCCUUUCAGAGGGGGACAACAGUUGGAAACGACUGCUAAUACUGCAUGACACAUUCGGGCGGCAUCGCUUGAAUGUCAAAGAUUUUAUCGCUGAAAGAUGGCCUCGCGUCUGAUUAGCUAGUUGGUAGGGUAACGGCCUACCAAGGCGACGAUCAGUAGCCGGACUGAGAGGUUGACCGGCCACAUUGGGACUGAGAUACGGCCCAGACUCCUACGGGAAGCAGCAGUGGGGAAUAUUGGGCAAUGGACGCAAGUCUGACCCAGCAACGCCGCGUGAAGGAAGAAGGCUUUCGGGUUGUAAACUUCUUUUAAGUGGGAAGAGUAGAAGACGGUACCACUUGAAUAAGCCACGGCUAACUACGUGCCAGCCGCCGCCGUAACAC
rnacentral:rRNA from 1 species